ensembl:snRNA U6 U6 spliceosomal RNA
GUGCCCACUUCGAUAACACAUAUGCUAAAAUUGGAAAGAUACAGAGAAGAUUAGCAUAGACUCUGCCCGAGGAUGACACACAAAUUCGUGAAGCGGUCCAUAUUUUU